rnacentral:misc_RNA from 1 species
AAGUCGUAACAAGGUUUCCGUAGGUGAACCUGCGGAAGGAUCAUUAACGAAUGUGCCGGGGGAGGACUCGCCCUGCGCUUGGCCCUUGCGGCCUUGAGCGCGGGCUUGGCUUCUCCUGUGACCGCUCAACCCCUGUGCACUGCGCGCGCGGUAUCGGCGGGAGUUUGCGCUCCCGACGCGGCCGCGUGCCCUUACAAACUCUGUAACACAAUGUGAAAACGUCUGCUCGAAAGAGUGGCAAUCUAAAUAAAAACAACUUUCAACAACGGAUCUCUUGGCUCUC